ACAGAGGGUGCGAGCGUUAAUCGGAAUUACUGGGCGUAAAGCGCACGUAGGUGGCUUGGCAAGUCGGUUGUGAAAGCCCCGGGCUCAACCUGGGAACUGCAUCCGAGACUGCUUUGCUAGAGUAUGGGAGAGGGAAGUGGAAUUUCCGGUGUAGCGGUGAAAUGCGUAGAUAUCGGAAGGAACAUCAGUGGCGAAGGCGACUUCCUGGACCAAUACUGACACUCAAGUGCGAAAGCGUGGGGAGCAAACAGGAUUAGAUACCCUGGUAGUCCACGCCAUAAACGAUGAGAACUGGAUGUCGGGAGGGUCUGCCUCUCGGUGUCGUAGCUAACGCGUUAAGUUCUCCGCCUGGGGAGUACGGCCGCAAGGUUG
rnacentral:rRNA from 1 species